GAUGAACGCUGGCGGCGUGCCUAAUACAUGCAAGUCGAGCGGACAGACGAGGAGCUCGCUCCUCUUACGUUACCGACGGACGGGUGAGUAACACGUGGAUAACCUACCUAUAAGAAUGGGAUAACUUCGGGAAACCGGAUCUAAUACCGGUUAUUAUAUUGAACGGCAUGGUUCAUUAGUGCACGCCGUAUUUGCUGUCCCUAAUACAUGGUACCGGGCCGGAUUAGCUAGUUGGUAAGGUAACGGCUUACCAAGGCUACGAUGCGUAGCCGACCUGAGAGGGUGAUCGGCCACACUGGAACUGAGACACGGUCCAGACUCCUACGGGAGGCAGCAGUAGGGAAUAUUCCGCAAUGGGCGAAAGCCUGACGGAGCAACGCCGCGUGAGUGAUGAAGGUCUUCGGAUCGUAAAACUCUGUUAGUAGGGAAGAACGAAUGUGUAAGUAACUAUGCACGUCUUGACGGUACCUAAUCAGAAAGCCACGGCUAACUACGUG
rnacentral:rRNA from 1 species